AUGCCGAAAAUUUGUGACUUUGGUCUGUCAAGACUCAUUAAUGAUUCAAUAAGAAGCUUUAACACAGAACAUCUUUGUGGAUCACAUCCCUUCAUGCCACCAGAAUACAUAGAGACUGGCGGAAUCUCUAAGAAGCAUGAUGUAUUCAGCUUAGGCGUCACAAUCAUACAAAUAAUUGCAGGACCUAACGGCUAUGGCGAAUAUGUAGACAUGCCUUUCAAUAGAUUUGCAGAACUUGCACUCUUGAACUGGAGGGGAAGGAUAGAGGGAACAUCAAAGCACGUGGAAGAAUACUGCCAGCAAGUCAAGAAAUGUAUCACAAUUGCAUCAGCUUGCGUGGGACAUGACAAAGACAAAAGGCCAACUAUAGGGUCUACGUUGGAACAACUACAAGCCAUAACUCAUAGAACAGUAGAAGAAGAAGAAAGAGAAGGAGAACAGGAGCAGUUGGAACAGAUAGAAACCACGAUUGACAGAACAAUAGAAGAAGAAGAAAGAGAAGGAGAACAGGAGCAAAAGAAUUUUCAAGUUGUUAAGUAUGGGCCUUGGGGUGGAAAUGGCGGAACUGCCCAUGACAUCGGGGCAGCAUCUUCCCUCCGUCUCAAAAGUGUGACAAUUCGUUAUGGCGAUAUCAUUGAUUCACUUACGUUUUCAUAUAGCGAUCACAGUGGGUAUGUGCACACCGUUGGCCCAUGGGGUGGUACUGGUGGUGCGAACAAAUAUACGAUCAAUCUUGAUCCAACAGAUUUUGUGAAAGAAAUUUCUGGCAAAUUUGGUCCAUAUCCCUUAUCACAUUCCAAUGUCAUAACAUCUCUCAAGCUGGUAACCCAUGAGGAUACAUAUGGCCCUUUUGGAUUUGUAGAAGGAACUCCUUUUUGCGGCACAUUGGAAAGCGGAUGGGCUAUAGUUGGCUUCUUUGCACGUGCGGAGAGGUAUGUUCAUAAAAUUGGUGUGUAUGCCAGACCUUUGACGCUUGAUGCAGAAGGACUGACAGUGGCCACAACACCCGGCACCUCCGGUGCAACCACAAAAGAAGAAAAUGGUCAAGAAGGUGAUUCAACAGUCAGAGACUGUGACAUGGCUAGCAAAUUGCAAAAUAUAACAAGUCUAACGCUCCGAGUAUUACAAGAAAUCACAGAUAAUUUCUCCGAGAAGAGGAAAAUUGGUCAAGGCACGUAUGGAAAGGUCUAUGUGGCAGAGCUUGAAAAUGGAAAAGAAAUUGCUGUGAAGGUGCUUUACAAUAACAUGCCAAAGAUUGAUGAUGAACAAUUCCAAAGUGAGUUCGAAAACCUUAUGAGGCUCGAGCAUCACAACAUUGUAAGGUUAGUUGCCUAUUGCUAUGAAACACAACAUCAACCUAUGCAGUACGGGGGAAGAACAGUUUUUGCUGAAAGGACAUACAGAGCGCUCUGCUUUGAGUAUAUGCAAAAUGGAAGCCUUGAAAAACACCUUUCUGACGAAGGUGAUAGACUUGACUGGCAUACAUGUUACAAAAUUAUCAAGGGUACAUGGAAGGGUUUAAAGCACCUUCAUGAAGGAUUCGAUCAACCAAUUUACCAUUUGGACCUAAAACCAAGUAACAUAUUGUUAGACAAGAACAUGGUGCCAAAGCUUGCGGAUUUUGGUUUGUCCAGGCUCUUCGGUGAUAAACAAACCAUAAUCACACAAACUCCUAUAGGAACAAUUGGAUAUGUGCCGAUGGAAUUCUUACAUGGAAACAUCGUGUCGAACAAGUUUGACAUAUUCAGCUUGGGUGUUGUAAUGAUAAAAAUAAUUGCAGGCAAUGGAGGCCAUUCUAGAAGUGUCGAAAUGCCUCUCCGUGAGUCUUUUGAUAUGGUACGAGAAAAGUGGAGGGGUAGGAUGCUGGAAACAUGUCUAGCUUCAAAGCCACUGGAAGCAUAUUGCAAACAAGUUAAUGUAUGCACUGAGAUUGCACUAAGUUGCAUGGAUAUUGAUAGACACAAAAGGCCAAAUAUAUCGGAUAUAAUCAAUCAACUGAAUGGCACCGAAGAUGUGGUCAACAAGGCAUUUUCGUCGAGCAUUCCCACAAGCAUGUCAUGA
rnacentral:rRNA from 1 species